GGGGGCGAAUUGGGUUCGACGUUUUUAUUGGAUUCCAAAGCGCAUGCCAAGAUUGUGGUAACUCUUGUAAAACAUACUACAAAAAAAAUUAGUUGCAGAAAACGACAACUACGCUUUAGCCGCUUAAUUGGCUAACCAAUGCAAGAAUUGUCUAUGGUUUGAAGCAUUGGCAAAAUACAUAGUCUAGUUUUGCUGUGGAGUCUUAACACAGUAACGCGAAACAUAAUUUAGACUAGCCUUUAAUACCCUGCUCUUCGGGUCAUUGAGGUAAAACAAAAAGAAUGAGCUAAGCAUGUAGAAGUCAGGUUGAAGAACUAACGGACGCGGGUUCAAUUCCCGCCGCCUCCACCA
rnacentral:tmRNA from 1 species